UGCAAUUUAUAAUGACAAUAUCUUUAAGUAUUAUGUGUCACAAACACAUUUUUACAGCCUUGCAAACACUGUGUGCAAGGGGUAUCCAUUUGCAAAGCAAUUAGCUUUGGCAAAAGUAACUUCCUAGAUACAAGGGUAUCUAAGAAUAGAUAAAUUGAAAUAAUUCAAAUAAUUUUCGUAUUUUUUUUAAAAUAAUCAUGUUUUUCAAAAAAAAUACGAAAAUAACCAACUUUUUAAUUUUUUUUUCAAAAUAACCAUGUUUGGGGAGAAUGCGUCGGGGGAGUUGGCGCACCCCCAAAAUUUUAAUUUUAUUUUAAAUUUUAUAUUGCAAAAACAACUUAAAGGGUCUGUGGUGCAAUGAUAAGAAAAACUUACUAAUAUUUAAUUUAUAUUGCAAAACAACUUAAAAUAUAAAACAAAAUAUUUUACAAAAUAGGAGUAACAUAUAAUUUAAAAUGGAAAAAUAAAUAAGUAAAUAGCUGAGAGAAAAUCAUAAGUUAAAUAAACAAAUUAAAAUAAAAAUUUAGUGUCUUUCUCUUAUGAUCUAAGAACAAUGGCUCAUUAAAUAUAUGAUGAAACAAAUUAACAUGAAGGGUCUGUGGUGCAAUGGUAACCUAUUUCAUUAUUGAUCUAAAGGUUGUGUGUUCGAUUUUGUUGGUUGCAAAAUUAAAUUUUAUUUUCAAAAGAAACACACAUAGGCGCCUCCCCUUGGAGGGCCAUGCAGGCAUGUGCGCCAAUGCAUCUGGUGCCUCCUAUUAUUUUUUGGGGUUUGCGCCUCCCCUUGAAGGGCCAUGCAGGCAUGUGCGCUAAUGGAUCUGACCCCUCCUCUUAUUUUUUUGGGAUUUUAAAAAAAAAUUCUCAUUUAUAAGUACAAUUUUUGAGAAACUGUUACAAAAGAUUUAGUGAUUUUUUUUACAAUGCAUAUCAAAGUAGUGGCAAAAACUAUCAAUGCACCUACGAAAAUAAAUUUUAAAAUGUGGACAAUCAUGGUCACUAUCACAAGAAAUGGUUGUUCAUGCAUUGUCAAAUAAGAAAAAAUUGAAUGUUACUAAAAAAAAAUGAGAAAAUAUAUCAAGUAUAAGAUAAAUUACAAAUUUUACUUGCUUCAACAAGAAUUAGAGAAAAAAAGAUGUUCAAAGCAUAAACAAACAUGAAUGUUUGAGCCAUUUUUAUCGCG
rnacentral:lncRNA from 1 species